UAUGAUUAGAGUUUGAUCCUAGCUCAGGAUGAACGCUGGCGGCGUGGAUAAGGCAUGCAAGUCAAACGGUUCGCAAGAACAGUGGCAGACGAGGUAGUAAUAAGUAGGUACCAACCCCAAAGUCAGGGAUAACUAGUCGAAAGAUUAGCUAAUACUUGAUGGUCUCUUCGGAGUAAAGAUUUAUCGCUUUGGGAUGGGCCUGCUCGGUAUCAGCUAGUUGGUAAGGUAACGGCUUACCAAGGCUAUGACACCUAGGGGACCUGAGAGGGUGACCCCCACCGAUGGAACUGAGAUACGGUCCAUACACCUACGGGUGGCCGCAGUCGAGAAUCUUCCGCAAUGGGCGCAAGCCUGACGGAGCGACGCCGCGUGGUUGAUGAAGCUCUUCGGAGCGUAAAAACCUUUUGCCAGGGAGAAAGUUUAUUGAUAGUACUUGGCGAAUAAGAGGUUGCUAAACUCGUGCCAGCAGCAGCGGUAAUACGAGUGCCUCAAGCGUUAUCCGGAAUUAUUGGGCGUAAAGGUUGUGUAGGUGGUUGUAUUAGUCUCUUGUUAAAUUCUUCGGCUCAACCGGGGGCAUGCAAGGGAAACGGUACGACUAGAGGAUGCGAGGGGUUUACGGAACUUAUAGUGUAGCGGUAAAAUGCGUUGAUAUUAUAGGGAACACCAAAAGCGAAGGCAGUAAACUAGAGCACUCCUGACACUGAAACAAGAAAGCGUGGGUCGCGAAUGGGAUUAGAUACCCCAGUAGUCCACGCCCUAAACGAUGACAUCUAGCUUUUCGGAGUAUCGACCCUCUGAGAGGCGUAGCUAACGCGUUAAGAUGUCCGCCUGGGUAGUACGACCGCAAGGUUAAAACUCAAAGGAAUAGACGGGGACUUGCACAAGCGGUGGAUCAUGUGGUUUAAUUCGACGAUAAACGAAGAACCUUACCAAGAUUUGAAACCCAGCUGAAGACAUUGGGAAACCUUUGUCGCCGCAAGGCAGUUGGGCAGGUGAUGCAUGGCCGUCGUCAGUUCGUGGUUUGAAUUGUUCCCUUAAGUGGGGUAACGAACGCAACCCUCGUUGCCUGUUAUAUAUGUCAGGCGAGACUGCCCACGACAAAGCGCAUACAUCCUUAAAUGGAUUGUGCUCUGUGUCGUGGGAGGAAGGUGAGGAUGACGCCAGGUCAGCAUGUCCCUCUGACAUCUUGGGCUACACACGUGAUACAAUCGCCGAGACAACGGGGCGCAAUACCGUAAAAGGUGGAGCAAAUCCUAAUAAACUCGGCGCCAGUUCGGAUUGAAGUCUGCAACUCGACUUCAUGAAGCCGGAAUCGCUAGUAAUCGCAGGUCAGCCAUACUGCGGUGAAUACGUUCUCAAGUCUUGUACUCACCGCCCGUCAACUCAAGGGAGUUGGGAGUGCCCGAAGUCUCAUAUUUUAUGGGCCUAAGGCAAGCUCAAUGACAGGGAGUAAGUCGUAACAAGGCACGGGUAGCGGAAGCUGCUCGUGGAUUAUUUCAAUU
rnacentral:rRNA from 1 species